GUUUAGUUUUGUUAUACGUGUCAAUCAAAACAAAAUGCGUCUCACCGUGUUCUUCAUUGCUGUUUUGUGCUUAUUCCAGUACGGAUACACUUACUGCUGUUUCCGAACGCAACCCUCAACUGCGUGCGCGGUCGCUGAGACCCCAUGCAUGAGCUCUUGUGCGAUGUCCAACGGUUGCUGUGGUGGCUGUUGUGGCGGCUGUGGCGGUUGCGGUCGUUCUAACUGUGGAUGCGGUGCGGCGUGCGGAUGUUGCAGGGAGAGAUCUAACGUCUGUAGCACAUAAGUCGAGUAUCCUGCGACGAUUAUCGAGAUGACUCCGAAUUAUUACGGCGCUUGUUGGUCUUAUUGAUGUCGCAAUUUUAUUAUAAUUGACGUAAUUGUAAAGGCAAAAGGAAGCGGUUCACUCAGCUCUUGCUGACUGGGAUAGGUAGUUCCAAGCAGCGCUGGUUUUUAGCCUCUCCUAAACUUCCUGAGGUGAAAAUCUUGGGAUUCGGAUUGCCUUUGCAGAGUAAGUGUGAAAAAUAAACAAGGUUUUCCGUGGAAUAGGAACUUAUAUUUCAAUAGAGUUAACACGUUAGACAACCAUAUU